AUCCCUUGACAUCCAGAGAAUCUGUUAGAAAUAGUAGAGUGCCUUCGGGAACUCUGAGACAGGUGCUGCAUGGCUGUCGUCAGCUCGUGCCGUGAGAUGUUGGGUUAAGUCCCGCAACGAGCGCAACCCUUAUCUUUAGUUACCAGCAUGUAAUGAUGGGCACUCUAAAGAGACUGCCGGUGACAAGCCGGAGGAAGGUGGGGACGACGUCAAGUCAUCAUGGCCCUUACGGGAUGGGCUACACACGUGCUACAAUGGUUGAUACAGAGGGUUGCGAAUCCGCGAGGUGGAGCUAAUCUCAGAAAGUCAAUCGUAGUCCGGAUUGGAGUCUGCAACUCGACUCCAUGAAGU
rnacentral:rRNA from 1 species